GCCCGAUUAACUCAGUUGGUUAGAGUGUCAGACUUGUAAUCUGAAAGUCGCGAGUUCGACCCUCGCAUCGGGCG